rnacentral:rRNA from 1 species
UACGUAGGGGGCUAGCGUUGUCCGGAAUCAUUGGGCGUAAAGCGCGUGUAGGCGGUCCGGUAAGUCCGCUGUGAAAGUCGGGGGGCUCAACCCUCGGAUGCCGGUGGAUACUGUUGGGCUUGAGUACGGAAGAGGCGAGUGGAAUUCCUGGUGUAGCGGUGAAAUGCGCAGAUAUCAGGAGGAACACCAAUGGCGAAGGCAGCUCGCUGGGACGGUACUGACGCUAAGGCGCGAAAGCGUGGGGAGCAAACAGG